rnacentral:rRNA from 1 species
UGCAGUCGAGCGGAUGAAGUAGCUUGCUACUGGAUUCAGCGGCGGACGGGUGAGUAAUGCUUAGGAAUCUGCCUAUUAGUGGGGGACAACGUUCCGAAAGGAGCGCUAAUACCGCAUACGUCCUACGGGAGAAAGCAGGGGACCUUCGGGCCUUGCGCUAAUAGAUGAGCCUAAGUCGGAUUAGCUAGUUGGUAGGGUAAAGGCCUACCAAGGCGACGAUCUGUAGCGGGUCUGAGAGGAUGAUCCGCCACACUGGGACUGAGACACGGCCCAGACUCCUACGGGAGGCAGCAGUGGGGAAUAUUGGACAAUGGGGGGAACCCUGAUCCAGCCAUGCCGCGUGUGUGAAGAAGGCCUUUUGGUUGUAAAGCACUUUAAGCGAGGAGGAGGCUACCUAGAUUAAUACUUUAGGAUAGUGGACGUUACUCGCAGAAUAAGCACCGGCUAACUCUGUGCCAGCAGCCGCGGUAAUACAGAGGGUGCGAGCGUUAAUCGGAUUUACUGGGCGUAAAGCGUGCGUAGGCGGCCAAUUAAGUCAAAUGUGAAAUCCCCGAGCUUAACUUGGGAAUUGCAUUCGAUACUGGUUGGCUGAGUAUGGGAGAGGAUGGUAGAAUUCCAGGUGUAGCGGUGAAAUGCGUAGAGAUCUGGAGGAAUACCGAUGGCGAAGGCAGCCAUCUGGCCUAAUACUGACGCUGAGGUACGAAAGCAUGGGGAGCAAACAGGAUUAGAUACCCUGGUAGUCCAUGCCGUAAACGAUGUCUACUAGCCGUUGGGGCCCUUGAGGCUUUAGUGGCGCAGCUAACGCGAUAAGUAGACCGCCUGGGGAGUACGGUCGCAAGACUAANACUCAAAUGAAUUGACGGGGGCCCGCACAAGCGGUGGAGCAUGUGGUUUAAUUCGAUGCAACGCGAAGAACCUUACCUGGCCUUGACAUACAGAGAACUUUCCAGAGAUGGAUUGGUGCCUUCGGGAACUCUGAUACAGGUGCUGCAUGGCUGUCGUCAGCUCGUGUCNUGAGAUGUUGGGUUAAGUCCCGCAACGAGCGCAACCCUUUUCCUUAUUUGNCA